CCUACGGGCGGCAGCAGUCGGGAAUAUUGCACAAUGGGGGAAACCCUGAUGCAGCGACGCCGCGUGAGCGAAGAAGUAUUUCGGUAUGUAAAGCUCUAUCAGCAGGGAAGCAAAUGACGGUACCUGAGUAAGAAGCUCCGGCUAAAUACGUGCCAGCAGCCGCGGUAAUACGUAUGGAGCAUGCUUUAUCCGGAUUUACGGGGUGUAAAGGGAGCGCAGGCGGCCUUGCAAGUCUGAUGUGAAAUACCGGGGCUCAACCCCGGAGCGGCAUUGGAAACUGUGAGGCUGGAGUGUCGGAGAGGCAGGCGGAAUUCCUGGUGUAGCGGUGAAAUGCGUAGAUAUUAGGAGGAACACCAGUGGCGAAGGCGGCCUGCUGGACGAUGACUGACGCUGAGGCUCGAAAGCGUGGGGAGCAAACAGGAUUAGAUACCCCUGUAGUC
rnacentral:rRNA from 1 species